rnacentral:rRNA from 1 species
GAUGAACGCUGGCGGCGUGCCUAAUACAUGCAAGUCGAGCGAACGGACGAGAAGCUUGCUUCUCUGAUGUUAGCGGCGGACGGGUGAGUAACACGUGGAUAACCUACCUAUAAGACUGGGAUAACUUCGGGAAACCGGAGCUAAUACCGGAUAAUAUUUUGAACCGCAUGGUUCAAAAGUGAAAGACGGUCUUGCUGUCACUUAUAGAUGGAUCCGCGCUGCAUUAGCUAGUUGGUAAGGUAACGGCUUACCAAGGCAACGAUGCAUAGCCGACCUGAGAGGGUGAUCGGCCACACUGGAACUGAGACACGGUCCAGACUCCUACGGGAGGCAGCAGUAGGGAAUCUUCCGCAAUGGGCGAAAGCCUGACGGAGCAACGCCGCGUGAGUGAUGAAGGUCUUCGGAUCGUAAAACUCUGUUAUUAGGGAAGAACAUAUGUGUAAGUAACUGUGCACAUCUUGACGGUACCUAAUCAGAAAGCCACGGCUAACUACGUGCCAGCAGCCGCGGUAAUACGUAGGUGGCAAGCGUUAUCCGGAAUUAUUGGGUGUAAAGCGCGCGUAGGCGGUUUUUUAGUCUGAUGUGAAAGCCCACGGCUCAACCCGUGGAGGGUCAUUGGAAACUGGAAAACUUGAGUGCAGAAGAGGAAAGUGGAAUUCCAUGUGUAGCGGUGAAAUGCGCAGAGAUAUGGAGGAACACCAGUGGCGAAGGCGACUUUCUGGUCUGUAACUGACGCUGAUGUGCGAAAGCGUGGGGAUCAAACAGGAUUAGAUACCCUGGUAGUCCACGCCGUAAACGAUGAGUGCUAAGUGUUAGGGGGUUUCCGCCCCUUAGUGCUGCAGCUAACGCAUUAAGCACUCCGCCUGGGGAGUACGACCGCAAGGUUGAAACUCAAAGGAAUUGACGGGGACCCGCACAAGCGGUGGAGCAUGUGGUUUAAUUCGAAGCAACGCGAAGAACCUUACCAAAUCUUGACAUCCUUUGACAACUCUAGAGAUAGAGCUUUCCCCUUCGGGGGACAAAGUGACAGGUGGUGCAUGGUUGUCGUCAGCUCGUGUCGUGAGAUGUUGGGUUAAGUCCCGCAACGAGCGCAACCCUUAAGCUUAGUUGCCAUCAUUAAGUUGGGCACUCUAAGUUGACUGCCGGUGACAAACCGGAGGAAGGUGGGGAUGACGUCAAAUCAUCAUGCCCCUUAUGAUUUGGGCUACACACGUGCUACAAUGGACAAUACAAAGGGCAGCGAAACCGUGAGGUCAAGCAAAUCCCAUAAAGUUGUUCUCAGUUCGGAUUGUAGUCUGCAACUCGACUACAUGAAGCUGGAAUCGCUAGUAAUCGUAGAUCAGCAUGCUACGGUGAACACGUUCCCGGGUCU